GGCGAUAUGGCCGAGCGGUCUAAGGCGCUAGAAUCAGGACCCAAGGUUCUAUCUAGUCUUCACGGGCGUGGGUUCGAAUCCCACUGUCGUCA